rnacentral:tRNA from 1 species
GGUGCCGUAGUUGAGCGGUACAAUGCCCGGCUGUCUACCGGGAGUUCACGGGUUCGAUCCCCGUCGGCACCG